CCUGCGGCUCACGCCGCAGGCUACGUGCUGCCGUCGCUUCGCGACU
rnacentral:sRNA from 1 species